AUACUGCCGGAACUGUGGCUAAUGGUGCGGACCACCCUGCUCACUGACAGCAAAGUGGGUAGCUAUGCUCUCUUCUGGAAGCCCCUCUGCAGCACUACUCUUGGGAGUGGAAAAGGAAGUGGUCAAAGACCUACAUUUGGGAGCUGAUCUGUCUUGCCCUAAGUUAGGGCCCAGCCCUUCCCUGGGGACCAGGAAAAUCUUUGCUCACCUGGAGAAGCUGCUGGUUCAGCCCAACUUUAUCUAACGCCAAAGCCUCAUUUAAGGCACUGAGCUUGACAGCUGCAGCCCGAAGAUCAGCUACUUCUGUCUUCAGGGUGUUUUCAGAACUCGACAGCUCUGCAACUGACUGCUCUGCCUAAAAAACAAAGAGGGUUGAAGAGUUUCAUAGUUCCAGUUUUCCUGGAAUGGUAAACAGUUCACAUACCCAACACUGCUGCUUUUUGGUACAGAGGUCAGUUAAUACUCCAUUCCCUCUCCUGCAUUCUAAACAAGUUUUCCCUUCAUUCGUUCAUUAAGGAGUAAGAGAGGAGCUCAUAGUAUAGAGGUACCAAGGUUAGGAUAGAGAAAUGACUACGAUUGUAAUGAUGCCACAGAAAAUGUA
rnacentral:antisense_RNA from 1 species